AUUUUUCGGCGUUACCAUAUUCACCGAUCCUAUAAGACACCGAUUUCAGUGUAUGGAGUUAUACUCUCUGAACCAAAAAACUCAAACCUGUCUCCCCAAACUCUCUUUACAAUCUUCAAAAACUCUUUUCAUAUCUUCUUUAAUUUUGUAGCAGUAUAGGCUUCACUUUGUAAUAGAAGGAGGAGGACUCGUGGUUUUUUCACUUUGGUGGUUUGCGCUUUGAAUCCUUCUUUUAAGG
rnacentral:lncRNA from 1 species